UCUCUCUCUCUCUCUCUUCUAGAAUAGGACAGCUUUGCUCUGAGCCCUUUUUACCAUGGAAGCCCUUUUUACCAUGGAAGCCCUUCUUUCUAUUUGGGGUUUUCAAUGAAUACAUCUUGAUAGCAAGUCGGCCAAUUAUCGUCCUUCUACUUCUGCUCCUGCCGUUUGAGCGCUAUAUGCGGUGGUCUCUACUAAAAGCAAGAAGAAGAGGCAGAGAGGGGAGGAGGGAGGCAAAUAUGGAGGUGAGAGUGCUUCUUCUUGCCCCCCAACAUACAUUAUUACACAGAAGGUUUCUACAACAUAUAAUACCUGGUGAGAUGGCCGGGGACACGGACGCCAUUGCUGAAUCAAGAUGGAACAUGAGCGGUAACCAGAAAACAAGCAAGUAGAAGAAGAAGACGCAUCGAAUUGCCAUUGAGGGAAGAUCAGAUGGUUGGAAUUAGUUCUUGGAUGGAUGAAAUUUUUAUGUGUUAGAGUAGGAACCAUUUAUGAAUUGAACAAACUGCAUUUUUCAAAAUCAGAGAGAAAAGAAAGUAAAAACUUAAGAUGUGUCCACCUUAAAAUAGAAUUUGAAUGUGGAUCCAUUAGAAAGCUGUAAUAGAAAUGAUCAUUUUGGAAGGGAAACCUGUUUUCACUUUUCAUGGAUUAAACCAGAAUUAGUGGUUGAAUGUUUGGAUCAUGGAUACGGUCGAAUUCGAUCCGUAGAUCGUCAUCGUCUCAUGGAGCAGGCAAGGCAAGAGCCUCAGCCUAGUCCCGCGUAGGCUGGAGUUUCAUUUUCAGUAGCACACGAUAAAGGAACGCUAAAGGGAAAACCAGGAAGAAAGGAUUCGGUGGUGGAGACGGAAAGCGGGUGGAGAUGAGCAGAGCGCCCAAGCAAAGAAUGAUUUCGUGAGCUUUCAGCCUCUCUCCAUCAGUCGGUUGCUUUUCGGUUGUGCUUCUUGGAGAAGAAGUUUAUGCGAAUGAAGAAUUUGCUGUAGAGGAGACGGUAAGCGCGAAGGCAGCACGUACAGAAAAUGUCGAUGGUGGUGCUAAGACGAAAGUCUUCCAUUCUAGGUGCCGGAAUCAGGUGGAGAUCCAUCCAUUGCAAUAGAAAAGAGAAAUGAAAGAUUAUAAUGUGGACCGGAUGCGUCAUGAUCUUUCUUUAGUUCCAGGCCCGCCAAAUAUAUAUAUAUAUAUAUAUAUAUAUAUAUAUAUAUAACGGUAUGUCUUUUCCAUAAAACUAAUCAUGGGAUAAUAAAUGAAUUCUUUCAAGUAUAAAAGCUACCUGCACAAAUCAAGGCCUAUUUCUCACACAAAAACUUGUCCUUACUACCUUGAGUUGUGCAUCUAUGCUUGAAGCUAAACUAGUACUCUCAAUGUCCAUGCCUACUAAAUCAAGCUCUUGUCCAUGCCCAAGGCCACCAAAUCAAUAUUGAGAAGUGGUUGGUUUGCUUCAAUACCUAAACUACCAGACUUGAACUGGUUUUCAUGGUGAACAAAAUCUACAAUACAUGCAUGCUGCUACUCAAAAUCAACAUCAAACAAAUUCUAAAGCCUAAGUCACAAAUUGGCAUGUUCAUUUGUCUUUCAACUUGGUUCUCU